AGUGAACGCUGGCGGUAGGCCUAACACAUGCAAGUCGAACGGCAGCACAGUAAAAGCUUGCUCUUACGGGUGGCGAGUGGCGGACGGGUGAGGAAUACAUCUGAAUCUACUUUUUCGUGGGGGAUAACGUAGGGAAACUUACGCUAAUACCGCAUACGACCUACGGGUGAAAGCAGGGGAUCUUCGGACCUUGCGCGAUUGAAUGAGCCGAUGUCGGAUUAGCUAGUUGGCGGGGUAAAGGCCCACCAAGGCGACGAUCCGUAGCUGGUCUGAGAGGAUGAUCAGCCACACUGGAACUGAGACACGGUCCAGACUCCUACGGGAGGCAGCAGUGGGGAAUAUUGGACAAUGGGCGCAAGCCUGAUCCAGCCAUACCGCGUGGGUGAAGAAGGCCUUCGGGUUGUAAAGCCCUUUUGUUGGGAAAGAAAAGCAGCAGGUUAAUACCCCGCUGUUCUGACGGUACCCAAAGAAUAAGCACCGGCUAACUUCGUG
rnacentral:rRNA from 1 species